rnacentral:misc_RNA from 1 species
AGGUAGUGGUGUGCAACGCCG